AGAGUUUGAUCCUGGCUCAGAGUGAACGCUGGCGGCAGGCCUAACACAUGCAAGUCGAACGGCAGCACAGUAAGAGCUUGCUCUUAUAGGUGGCGAGUGGCGGACGGGUGAGGAAUACAUCGGAAUCUACUCUUUCGUGGGGGAUAACGUAGGGAAACUUACGCUAAUACCGCAUACGACCUACGGGUGAAAGCGGAGGACCUUCGGGCUUCGCGCGGUUGAAUGAGCCGAUGUCGGAUUAGCUAGUUGGCGGGUAAAGGCCCACCAAGGCGACGAUCCGUAGCUGGUCUGAGAGGAUGAUCAGCCACAACUGGAACUGAGACACGGUCCAGACUCCUACGGGAGGCAGCAGUGGGGAAUAUUGGACAAUGGGCGCAAGCCUGAUCCAGCCAUGCCGCGUGGGUGAAGAAGGCCUCGGGUUUGAAAGCCCUUUUGUUGGGAAAGAAAAGCAGUCGGUUAAUACCCGAUUGUUCUGACGGUACCCAAAGAAUAAGCACCGGGCUAACUUCGUGCCAGCAGCCGCGGUAAUACGAAGGGUGCAAGCGUUACUCGGAAUUACUGGGCGUAAAGCGUGCGUAGGUGGUGGUUUAAGUCUGUUGUGAAAGCCUGGGCUCAACCUGGGAAUUGCAGUGGAUACUGGAUCACUAGAGUGUGGUAGAGGGUAGCGGAAUUCCCGGUGUAGCAGUGAAAUGCGUAGAGAUCGGGAGGAACAUCCGUGGCGAAGGCGGCUACCUGGACCAACACUGACACUGAGGCACGAAAGCGUGGGGAGCAAACAGGAUUAGAUACCCCUGGUAGUCCACGCCCUAAACGAUGCGAACUGGAUGUUGGGUGCAAUUUGGCACGCAGUAUCGAAGCUAACGCGUUAAGUUCGCCGCCUGGGGAGUACGGUCGCAAGACUGAAACUCAAAGGAAUUGACGGGGGCCCGCACAAGCGGUGGAGUAUGUGGUUUAAUUCGAUGCAACGCGAAGAACCUUACCUGGUUCUUGACAUCCACGGAACUUUCCAGAGAUGGAUUGGUGCCCUCGGGAACCGUGAGACAGGUGCUGCAUGGCUGUUCGUCAAGCUCGUCCGUGAGAUGUUGGGUUAAGUCCCGCAACGAGCAGCAACCCUUUGUCACUUAGUUGCCAGCACGUAAUGGUGGGAACUCUAAGGAGACCGGCGGUGACAAACCGGAGGAAGGUGGGGGAUGACGUCAAGUCAUCAUGGCCCUUACGACCAGGGCUACAACACGUACUACAAUGGUAGGGACAGAGGGCUGCAAACCCGCGAGGGCAAGCCAAUCCCAGAAACCCUAUCUCAGUCCGGAUUGGAGUCUGCAACUCGACUCCAUGAAGUCGGAAUCGCUAGUAAUCGCAGAUCAGCAUUGCUGCGGUGAAUACGUUCCCGGGCAAUUGUACACACACGCCACGUCACACCAUGGGAGUUUGUUGCACCAGAAGCAGGUAGCUUAACCUUCGGGAGGGCGCUUGCCACGGUGUGGCCGAUGACUGGGGUGAAGUCGUAACAAGGUAGCCGUAUCGGAAGGUGCGGCUGGAUCACCUCCUU
rnacentral:rRNA from 1 species